rnacentral:lncRNA from 1 species
UAAGGUAUGAAGGUAUAUUAAUAUUGUAAACGCUUUAGACAAACUCUUGUCAAUAGUGGUGACCCCAACGUGUUUUAAGACUAAUCUUUAUAGCGCUGGCGUGUGUAGUAAUGGAAUCUCAAGCCUUCUUCAUCUACCAUCACACCAGAGACUAAAUUAUCUCUGGUACUUUACUUUAAAGUUAGUAAUGCUUCUUCAAGAAUGGAUUCACUAAAUAGUACAUUGAUUACUAAUGGAUACGUAAUACAUCUCUGCCUAAUUCCCCUCCUGAUUUCCUGGUGCUGAUUCGAAAUGAGUAGGCACCAAAAUAAGAAGAACCAGAAUGUACCUACUCAAGUUUUUUGGUGAACUGCGUAGUUUAGUUAUUUCAGUGAAAAAGUUAGCAGUACUACCUAAGUAGUAGAUUGUUUUGUUUAUAAUUUUUCUCUCAAAUUUAGUAGUUGUUUUAUUAAAAUAUGACUCUGUUUAGCAACAAUAAAGUAACUUAAAUUAUUUAAUUGCAUCACCUAUUAUUAGGAUUAAGAGACAAUUAUACUGGUAUUGUGUAAUUUGUUUAAUUGGAUUAAAAUGUUAUUGAAGUUACUAAGUUUAAA